UCCCGUGUAGCUCAGUUGGUAGAGCAUGGUGUUUGCAACGCCAGGGUUGUGGGUUCGAUUACCCACGGGGGAC
rnacentral:tRNA from 1 species